AGCAGCCGCGGUAAUUCCAGCUCCAAUAGCGUAUAUUAAAGUUGUUGCAGUUAAAAAGCUCGUAGUUGAAUUUCGGGAUCAGUACGCUGGUCGUGCCUUUGGUAUGUACUGGUGUCACUGAUUCCUCCCUUCUGAAGAACCGUUAUGCCAUUUAUUUGGUGUGGCGGGGAAUCAGGACUGUUACUUUGAAAAAUUAGAGUGUUUAAAGCAGGCUCGCGCUUGAAUACAUUAGCAUGGAAUAAUGAAAUAGGACGUUUGAUCUUAUUUUGUUGGUUUCUAGGAUCGACGUAAUGAUUAAUAGGGAUAGUUGGGGGCAUUAGUAUUCAAUUGUCAGAGGUGAAAUUCUUGGAUUUAUUGAAGACUAACUACUGCGAAAGCAUUUGCCAAGGAUGUUUUCAUUAAUCAAGAACGAAAGUUAGGGGAUCGAAGACGAUCAGAUACCGUCGUAGUCUUAACCAUAAACUAUGCCGACUAGGGAUCGGAUGAUGUUAAUUUUUAAUGACUCAUUCGGCGUCCG
rnacentral:rRNA from 1 species